rnacentral:rRNA from 1 species
CCUACGGGUGGCUGCAGUGAGGAAUAUUGGGCAAUGGGCGCAAGCCUGACCCAGCAACGCCGCGUGAAGGAAGAAGGCUUUCGGGUUGUAAACUUCUUUUUUCAGGGACGAAGCAAGUGACGGUACCUGACGAAUCAGCCACUGCUAACUACAUGCCAGCGGCCGCUGUAAUACGGAGGUGGCAAUCGUUAUCCGGAUUUACUGGUUGUAAAGGGCGUGUAGGCGGGACUGGAAGUCAGAUGUGAAAACCAGGGGAUCAACCUGUGGACUGCAUUUGAAACUGUAGUUCUUGAGUACUGGGGAGGUAGACGGAAUGCAUGGUGUAGCGGUGAAAUGCGUAGAGAUUAGGAGGAACACCAGUGGCGAAGGCGGUCUGCUGGACAGCAACUGACGCUGAGGCGCGAAAGCGUGGGGAGCAAACAGGAUUAGAUACCCUUGUAGUC